CCUUGAUAUAAAACAUAUAUAGAGGAAAUUACUAGGUGUGGAAUCCUUAGAAUAGGAAGGUGUAGACUGUAGAGAAUAGGGGAGCCCAAAGAUGGUCAUGUGCUAAGACUACGUGUAUAACGUUCUUCAUUUAGGUGGAAAACUACACAUUUAAUGUCCUUGCAAUUCACAAGGCUGUUAGUCUUGUGAUUCAGUUGACCAGAAAUUAACCCCUUCACUUAUUUACGCAUUCUUAUUGUUUAGGAAAUGCCAAAGUAGUCAAAAAAUCUAAUCUUUAUCAAAAGUGACAGAGCAGCUUUCAUAAUGUAAGAAAUUUGAAUCAAGGUUUGAGUGUAUUGUCAGAGUGUGUGGUCACAUUCUCUGCAGUUAUCCCAGCACAUUUUACAGUGAGUUUCUUAUGAUGGAGUCUGUGAUACACUCAAUAUCAUAACCUGUGUUCUACCAAGAGAGUAACACCAGGGCAGGAAAGAAUCGUGUCAGAAACAGGGAUAUUGUACAAGUAUCCUAAAAGUCCCAAAUAAAGAAGGUAUCCCGAUCAGACUUAGAUAAC